GAAACAGAGUACUGGUACACACAAGAACCUGGAGGAAUCACUAGGAAUGAUGCUGAGUUACGGUCAGUCCCAUGCUGGGCGGGGUGGCUCGCGCCUGCAAUUCCAGCACCUGGGAAGACUGAGUAGGGUGCCUCGCUUGCUGUUGCAUCCUCUGGAGGGGACAAACACUGAAUUCACAUGGCAGAAGUGACCAAAGGGGUGGGCUUGCCCCCUUGGCCCCUCUGAUAAGUUGUGAUGGUCACAGUUGCAGCCAUCCUGUGAGCAUGAGGACACAGUCUUGCAUGAAAAGAUGGGAGGAGCCUGGAAUCCUGUAGAUUACAUCUAGAUUUUGUACCAGCUCUGUUCUGCC